GGCGGACGGGUGAGUAAUAUAUAGGUAAUGUGCCCUAGAGAAGAGGAUAACAGUUGGAAACGACUGCUAAUACUCUAUAUGCCUUUAAGACAAAAGUCUGCAAGGGAAAUAUUUAUAGCUCUAGGAUCGGCCUGUACGGUAUCAGCUAGUUGGUGAGGUAAUGGCUCACCAAGGCAAUGACGCCUAACUGGUUUGAGAGGAUGAUCAGUCACACUGGAACUGAGACACGGUCCAGACUCCUACGGGAGGCAGCAGUGGGGAAUAUUGCACAAUGGGGGAAACCCUGAUGCAGCAACGCCGCGUGGAGGAUGACACAUUUCGGUGCGUAAACUCCUUUUAUAUAGGAAGAUAAUGACGGUACUAUAUGAAUAAGCGCCGGCUAACUCCGUGCCAGCAGCCGCGGUAAUACGGAGGGCGCAAGCGUUACUCGGAAUCACUGGGCGUAAAGAGCGUGUAGGCGGGUUAAUAAGUUUGAAGUGAAAUCCUAUGGCUCAACCAUAGAACUGCUUUGAAAACUGUUAACCUAGAAUAUGGGAGAGGUAGAUGGAAUUUCUGGUGUAGGGGUAAAAUCCGUAGAGAUCAGAAGGAAUACCGAUUGCGAAGGCGAUCUACUGGAACAUUAUUGACGCUGAGACGCGAAAGCGUGGGGAGCAAACAGGAUUAGAUACCCUGGUAGUCCACGCCCUAAACGAUGUACACUAGUUGUUGUGAGGCUAGACCUUGCAGUAAUGCAGUAAACACAUUAAGU
rnacentral:rRNA from 1 species